GAGGGAGCCUCUCCCCGAGGAGCGGGGAGAGCGAGAGGAGGGGCGGCGGCCCUGCUCCCCCGGGGGUCGGGUCUGAGAGGGGCUGGAAAUGAGUGAACGUGGUGUCCUCCUCUGGCCCGCAAAGUGAGUCACGUUCUGUCAGAAGACAGGAGAAAAUAAGCGACUUUUGAACACAACUGUGGACCUCCACAGCUAACCUCGUCCAGAAAGAAAAGGGAAAUCCACAGGCCUUGGAAAGCUGUCACUGAGUCAGAAAACUGUCCUCGCCAACCUGCCUCAUGGCACCGACCAGUGACAUGGGCAGGAGGGACCAGAGAACGGCCUCUCAGCAACAGAGGGGAUGGCAUCCUGCGUGCUUUGGAAAUUCAAGUGUAUUUUAUCUCACAAUAUGUAAUCAACAAUUAACAAUGGAAACACCCUGCUGACUCCCAAAGGAACAGACUACAAUUUCCUGGUGUUAGUUUGCUAGAUUCAGUAGUCAUCUUACUUAAGUAUACAACAUUAAAGUCCUUAACUUUUUUGUUAAUUUUUUUAAUACGUAUUUAAUAUCACCUGCUAGGGAGUCCGGAGGUACUGUACAGAACAGCUUUGAAACACCAGCUGCACAUCCUGCUUCUUGAAAGAGAUCCCAGAAGCCACUGGCAGGAAGAUUAAAAGAAGAGGCAGGGGACGAGCCUUAAACUCCUAAAACAGUUUGGAGCACACACCUAUUCACUGCAGAGAGAUAAUGUGGCUGCUGUGUGUGCUGUCAAAGACUGAGAAUGUAAGAAAAAACAUCAUUCUGUGCUUCACGGUGAAGAACUGCCAUCUCCUGCCACGUGAACUAGCGUGAGAGAACCAAGGUAGUGUGAAGUGAUCUGAGAAACAGCAGUUCAGAGGAGUGCAGAAGAAAGUCUAGCAUUGUAAGCUUUGUCAGUCCACUUUGCGGUUGCCUUUUCUCUGCCAGAAAUAGCAGUUUCAUGGAGUCAGUGAACUAACUCCUGCCUGGGCAGGGACUCCUUGCCAUAGAAACUAAUUGCCAAAAGCAGGAAAGCUCUGGCAAGAGAAGACCUGCAGUGGGGUGCACUAAGGGAAAAUGAACGCAUUGUGUGCCUUGGCUUGGCAUUGCCUACUGCAGAUCAUCCUACUAGAAGCCAGAAACUGUACAGUUUAUGCUCUGAUGCACCCAUCAUUUACUUACUCUCAGUUAUGUAGGCUUGCCACUUCAUUGUAGCAAUGGACCCAUCAAAUUUCACCUGUUUUUGUAACACAGGACAGCAGGUUGUUCUGGCCAAGAAGGUGGUUUUUCUCACCCGGAUGCUCUUGAUCUUACCCCAUUAUUUACUGUGUGCCUCUGAAACACUGACAAAGGUAGGGAAAAAGCAAAGGUCACCAAACAGCAAAUGAGAAGAAGGAACAACAGCGAGUCAGAAACAAAAGAAUUGCUGCUGUCAUUAACCAAACAUAGGAAUAAUUAAAAAAAAAAACAAACAAAAAACAACCCAAACACAAAACCAAAAAUAGUACCUACAAAUCCUGUUCUGGAACUGAAGCCCUAAAGUCAUCCCAAGAAUAAAAAUUUGAUUUUUUGAAUAUGCAAAAGUUUCUACUUCUGUAUAUGAAUUAGAAAAAGUAAUUCACUGCCUGCAAAAUGAACAGUUGAAGCCUUUGAUGUUAGUGAGAGUAAGCCCCCUAACUGGCAAAAAUGAAAAGAUUUUCAAUUCAUCUUAUUAAAAAUAAAAAGGAAACCUCAAAAACAUCAGAUCAAGUUCUCAUUUCUAUGUAGAAAAUAGUUUGUUGAUCAGUCUCUGAGCAUAAGUUUGCAGAGACACUUGGCCCCACAAGGCAGUUACAGAUAUUCCUUUGUUUUAAUUAAUAAAUCGUACUUUCUAGGGCUUUAGAAGUAUUACAUUAAUAAUAUGUCUUGGUCUGGAACAAAUUUAUACCAUUACAUUAUAUCCAUCUAUUUUAUAAUAUUCUACCACAGCUUAUAUUAAAAGUUUUUUAAAAUGCAUUUUUAUGGAGCUUUAAUUUAGAUUUAAUGUUUAUCAUAUGAAUGUAGUGAAAGAAAUUUGCAAAAAAAAAAGUCUUUAUAUAAGCUCUGUAAAUAAAAGGACUCAAAGGCUGUAAAUAUUAAAAGUAUUUUUAGGCAAGUA